GCUGGAUUGGACAACUCCCGUCUUACUUCCUGAGGAGCAGCACUGUAGUAGCCAAGCAACCUGAAGGAUUUGAUAUAACAGCAGGAGUUUCCGGGCAAAGCCAAUGUCUGGGCCAGUGUUUGCAACCUGGAUAACAGCAUUGUUUUAGCAAUCAGAGAAUGGAAGCUGGGGAUAAAGUUUGAGUGAGGCUCGGGGAGACAAAACCAGCAUUCAUCUACAGCACAUGAAAAUGAAUUGGCCCAUCAGCUUUCAACUGAAUAUAGUAGCACUGUGUCUUGCUACAUACAGUCUAAUCUCUCCAUAACUGCCACUGACCUUCAUUUGGAAGCAUUUUUAACUGUAAAAUGUUUGAAGCAAAGGAUAUAAAGAAGGAAUAUCAUCGAGAGCACAAUUUGCAGUAGCUCAUUACGGAUAAGUCUGCUACGAUUCCCUGCCUCCUUCCAAUUUUUUAAAUGAUCUAAAACUGAGAAGCCAGAAGAUUCACAGUGUUUUGGCAAAAUCAAUUUUGAGAAAGUCACGUAGAGAUAUAUUCUGAUAAAAAUCAUAGAACAGUUUAAACAUAAAGAAUGAAACUGAUGGAUUAGUAAUGCUUUAUCUCACAACUAGUGGUGGGUAAAUUGGUGGUUGGUGGUUGUCAUAUCUAUUUUGGUGGAGUAGUUUUUAUCU
rnacentral:lncRNA from 1 species